rnacentral:rRNA from 1 species
GACGAACGCUGGCGGCGUGCCUAACACAUGCAAGUCGAGCGGAGCUAGUAGCAAUAUUAGUUUAGCGGCGGACGGGUGAGCAACGCGUGGGCAACCUGCCUUCUACAGGGGGAUAACACAGGGAAACUUGUGCUAAUACCGCAUAACAUACUUGAGGGACAUCCCUUGGGUAUCAAAGGAGCAAUCCGGUAGAAGAUGGGCCCGCGUCCGAUUAGCUAGUUGGAGGUGUAACGGACCACCAAGGCGGCGAUCGGUAGCCGAACUGAGAGGUUGAUCGGCCACAUUGGGACUGAGACACGGCCCAGACUCCUACGGGAGGCAGCAGUGGGGAAUAUUGCGCAAUGGGGGAAACCCUGACGCAGCAACGCCGCGUGAAGGAUGAAGGUCUUCGGAUUGUAAACUUCUUUAGUCGGGGACGAAGAAAUGACGGUACCCGAAGAAUAAGCCACGGCUAACUACGUGCCAGCAGCCGCAGUAAGAC